AUUGAACGCUGGCGGCAUGCCUUACACAUGCAAGUCGAACGGCAGCACGGGUGCUUGCACCUGGUGGCGAGUGGCGAACGGGUGAGUAAUAUAUCGGAACGUACCUUAUUGUGGGGGAUAACGCAGCGAAAGCUGUGCUAAUACCGCAUAAUCCCUAAGGGGGAAAGCGGGGGACCGUAAGGCCUCGCGCAAUUAGAGCGGCCGAUACCUGAUUAGCUAGUUGGUGAGGUAAAGGCUCACCAAGGCAACGAUCAGUAGCUGGCCUGAGAGGACGAUCAGCCACACUGGGACUGAGACACGGCCCAGACUCCUACGGGAGGCAGCAGUGGGGAAUUUUGGACAAUGGGGGCAACCCUGAUCCGGCAAUGCCGCGUGAGUGAAGAAGGCCCUCGGGUUGUAAAGCUCUUUUGUCAGGGAAGAAAAGAUCGUGGCUAAUAUCCAUGGUUCAUGACGGUACCUGAAGAAUAAGCACCGGCUAACUACGUGCCAGCCGCCGCCGUAA
rnacentral:rRNA from 1 species